rnacentral:lncRNA from 1 species
GUGAUGAUAGGAAGCAAGCAACAAAAUGAAAUCAAAGGUGUAUGUGGAUCUCCGAAAGGUUUGGGUCUUUUUUUUCUUUUAACUGGACUUUUGAGUCCGUCGUCCUGGGUUGGCUUGACUUGAGAGAGACGGUCAGACCUGGGCGAUUGAUGUCUUCCAGUUAAUUAGGAAGGCAACAAGCAACACUGGUCCUGUGUUAGCAAGCAUGCAUGUUUCCUCCGAUCCUCCUCCGCCGCCACCUCCUCCUCCAUUCUCCACGCCGCCUCCACCUGUUCAUCACCCGCGCGCUCUCCAUAGCCACCAACACUACGGUGGGAUCACAUCUCCACGCGCAACCCAUCAAACUACCCAUGUCCAUGUCCGCUACUCACAUCUC